UGUAACGGGAGAAAAAGUAAUUUGUUUGAUUACUCGUUACUGAAAAAAGUAAUUUAUAACGCCGUUAUUCCCAUCACUGAGAACUACUGGGGUGUAUUCCAGAAAGCUGGGUUAAUUUACCAUCAGAUUAACCCUGAACUUUGGGUUGAUUAACCCAAAACCUGCUUACUCGGGGUCUGUCAGUUCCAAAACACCUGUGUCGAGUUAGUUUAAUCAACCUACUGCUAAUAACCUCGAGUUAAUGCGCGCACACGGUGAACAUAUAAAGGCAUUUUCAAUGGAACGCCGAAUUCAGGAGUCACCAUGGAAAGUAAGGGUGAAAAGUUACGUGCCGCGUACUUCUCCGAAGCGGAGUUAGAAGUUUUAAUGUUGGCUUAUGAGGAGUUCAAGCCCAUUAUAAUGAAAAUAGCAAUACAGCUGCAUAUGCGAGGGAAAGACAAUUGGCUUGGCAAAAAAUAACUGACAGAGUAAAUGUGUAAGUUUUUUUUUUUUUAUUACAUUUUAUUAUGCUUGCCUUUUGUCUUUUGUUAAUUUGCAAAGUUGAACAAUUGUCUUUUUGAGCAUGUGGCAUGACUCGACAAGCAUUUACUUUUCUCUACAUCAGUUUCUUAAGAAUACAGUGCUUGACAAGAAAUAUUUAGGCCUCUUGUUUUAUAAGGUGUAAUCCUUCUGGAGCCAAAAGAACUCUUUCCCAAGUCAAAAUGAAACACAAAAACAUUCUUCAAAAAGGUAAUAUUUUAUUUUAACUGUUGUAAGAUCAAUGUCUUAAGUUACUUUUACAGUAUUCUUCCUAUAUAGCUAAUAGGAAGAAGGCUGAGGCCCGUCUAACUGGUGGGGGUCCACCUCCACCUCCUCUCACCCCAUCUGAGGAGUUGGCUCUUUCACUUAAUAAAGGUCGCCCUGUGGUCGAUGUUAUUCCAGAGGGCACUUCGUCAGACUUUGCUACCUCCCACAACAACUCAAGUGACUUGGUACAAUUUGCUGAUGGACGCAUUGAAUUAUUGGAUCCUCCUAAAACCACACAGUCUGUCACAAUUGAUGAUAAUGAAGAGACCACAUCUGCUGUGACUGAAUUAGAAAGUGCUGGGAGACCCACAGAGGUAUGAUGCAUAUACUGGACAAUGCAUAGCUUUUUAGAUGGAGUGAAAAAUGUGUCAUUUGUCCUGUGACAGAAUCUAGCUGGGGAUGUACAUGCAGAUGAGGGUCCAUCUACCUCUACACAUAAUCUUAGCAGUGUAACAACUUGUCCCUGGUUGUCCUUAUUUACAUAAUUACUAUGUAAGCAGAUUUUCUUCUUUAACCAUCUUAUUUACUUUGCCUUCCUAGUUGUCUGCAAAGGAGCUGUGUAAGGUCCAUCUAUUGAGGCAAAUUAAAAAAAAACUGACAUGGACAUGGACCUUAUACAGCUUCAGCUAGAGGAGAAAAGGCUGGCCAUUAAAAAGGCCAAACUUGAAAUAGAACUAAGGUGAGAACUAAGGCAUCACCUUAAGGUGAGAAUCAUAAGUGAACAUGAAUCUGUUAUUAUUUUUUGUGUGUGUGUGUGUGUGUGUGUGUGUGUGUGUGUGUAUAAAGCAAUAAAUACAAAUCUGUCAUGUCUCUUUUGUUUCAGGAUAUGAAGAAAUAGAAAACAUUAAAUAAUGUCUCUAAGCAUUCUGCCAUCUCUGUGGUCUGCUAGAUUCAAUGGGUGUUGUUCUAGGUCAUCUUCAUCAGGACAGGGGGGAGGCCUCUCUCCUCUUAUUGUGGCAAUGUUGUGAAGUACCACACAAGCAACUGUGAUGUCACAUGCCCUUUUUGAAGUGACCCUGAGCCCACGCAGACACUGAAACCUCGCCUUCAGAAUGCCUAUUGUCAUCUCCACCUUGGCCCGUGUUCUGCUGUGAGACAGGUUGAAGCGUGUCUGUGGUCUGGGCUCAGGAUCAGGGUAGGGUGUCAUCAUAUAGGGGGGGCAAGGGUAUCCUCUGUCCCCCAGCAAGUAACCAUAGAAGUGUCCUGUAAUGUUUGAGGUGUUUUGUAAAUGUAAUAAAGACUACAAGCAUUUGUCUAACAAAACGUACCCUGUUGAAAUUUGUUGCACAGAGAUGACUCUCUAAAUAUUCUGGCAUCAUGUACAGACCCAGGCCAUUUUGCCUCAACAUUAGUGAUAAGGUGGGUUGCAUCACAUAUUACCUGUGGAGAACAAUAAGUUUAUUAUUUGUAACACCAAUAUUAAGGAGCCAAAAUAUAGCUAUUACCUGCACAUUGAUGCUAUGCACAGACUUCCUACUAACAUAGUCUCCCUCAUUGAUAGAUAGAGCUUUAAUAGGAAUGUGGGUGCCAUCAAUGCACCCAAUCACGUUUGGGAACCCUGAAAUUAAGAUUAAUUACAAGUUUAAGAAGUCUGUGUAGCCUUUACGUGUGUGUGUGCAGUCAAAAUAAACCCAUUAAGAAAUGUCAUUUAAUUGAAGUAGAUGACAGAAUUUCUGAGAGCACACCUGCCACCCUGUGGAAUUCUUCUUUAAUAAAGUGCACAGGUUUAUGGUCAGGGAACUGUACAGAAGUGUGUAGAAACCGUUUCAGUGCCAUGCAUACUGUACGAACGGCUCUACACACUGUUGCCUUUCCCACAUGCUCUGCAUCGGCCACACUGUAGAGAAAACUCCCCGUAGCAAAAAAGCGCAGAGCAAUACAAAGAAUUCGUAAAACAGCGAAAGAAAACCUGUAUAAUCUGUGCCUCUACGUCCACAGGAUCCUCAUCAAAAGGGCACGCCAUGCUCGGAAACCUCUCUGAAACAAACUAACCCUGCAACAUAACCUGCUCCAGAGCAGGUUAUCCUCAGAGAGUCAGUUGCUAUGGUUACUUACAUAACCCGAAAGUUACCUCCGUUUUUGGAACCGAAAGCAGAGGUUAUCCGCUUACUUACUCCUAAACUUACCUGGGUAAGUCACAUAACCUGCUUUCUGGAAUACACCCCUGAACUCGCAUGAACUGUUUCAAAUAAGUUUUUUUUACGUUUUUACGUUUUCUUAAUUACAACACAACAUACAAGGGGACAAAGAACAAGGGGCACUAUAAAUUAUAUAACAGCGAAAUAAAAUAUUAAAAUAAAAUAUUAAAAUUGUUCCGCUUCUUUAUAUGCAAACCAUUUUGACCAGCGCUUAUUAUAUAUAUGAAAAGGAUAUUAUAUCCUUUGAUACGUAGAAAGUAUGUCAUCUUCUCCAUUGAGUGUAUCUCCUCCACUAUUUCUUUCCACUGUUCAGUCCGAGGUGGGUCAAUCUUUAACCAAGACCGAGUGAUAGCUUUUUUACAUGCAAUCGUUAGAAUUUUAAAAAAAUAAGUGUCUUCUUUUUGGACCACCUCACCAGGUAGAAGACCUAACAAGAAAAUCUUAGGGUCUUUAGGGAUGACAUAACCCAUUAUCCUUCCAGUAAUUAAAAGGAUACUGUCCCAGAAUUGUUCUAACUUUGGGCACAUCGAAAAUAUAUGAGAGUGAUUGGCGUUCCGAUGUCCACACUGUCACCAGCAUUGCUGUUGUUCACCCCUUUGUUUAUUAAUAAUAUGAGGUGUAAUGAAAAAUCUAACCAAACUCUUCCACCCAAAUUCCCUCCAUCUUUUAGAACAAGUAGAUGUCUGUUGUGUCACACACAUCGAAAGCCAAUCACCCUCUGACACUUCCAUACACAGUUCCUUUUCCCAUUUCGACUUGAUAUACAAUGUAUUAUUUCCAUUUUGUUUCUGCAGUGCUUUAUACAAUUUAGAGACAGUUUUACUUGGCAAGAGCUCAUAAGCAUCACUAAAAACUUUAACAAUGUCAUUGCCCUCAGGAGAGAUACCUUUUCUUAUUUCACUGUUGUAGAAAUGUCUCACUGUUGUAGAAAUGACACUGACGAAGGCAAAGAGCCAAAACGUUUGUUGAUUUAUCUCCUGUGAGCUUCUAUUAAAGUCUCUUUUAGAGUGCAUACCUCCUUUGUAUUCUUAAUUGAAAUAUAGGUUAUUGCACCUCAUUAGCUGGGUGAGCGCAGUGAACGCUUUGAUUGGAGAAAUGUCUCACUUGAAAAUAUUUGAAAAGAUCUCUGUUCUCUAGUUUGUAUUGAUUCUUGAGUUGUUCGAAUUUUUUGAAUGUGUUGCUGUCUAAAAACUGACACAGUGCCAUGAGGCCUCGAUCUUUCCAGCUCAAGAAUGAAGAGUCUAUUUCACCUAGUCGAAAACUCGGGUUGCAGGAGGGCCAGAUCAAAAGUUUAAUAUCAUUAGUCAAUUUGUACUUAUUUACAAUCUCUUUCCAAAUUAAUAGUGUAUCUUCAACUAUACGAUUGCCAUCUUUAUUUGAGAUAACUUUACCUCCUAAACGGGUUUGAGGUUGGCUCUGUCCCUGGGAUAGUUCAAUCAGUCUCCAUCGAGCCUCGGUUUCUGCGGAACACCAAUAAACCAUAUAUCUCAUUUGAGAUGCGUAAUAAUAAUUCUUCAGAUUUGGAAGGGCUAAACCGCCAUGAUCUUUAUCGAUCUGAAGUGUCCUAAAUUUUAUCCUUGGUCUUGCCCCUGACCAAAUAAAUCGUGAUAUUAGCCGGUCCCAAGCGUUAAAAUGCGAGUCAGCAAUCCUGAUGGGCAAUGACAUGAAAAGAUACAGAAAUCUGGGAAGCAGAUUCAUUUUCACUAUUUCCAUUCUAGCAUUGAAGUCUAAUAUCAGCAUUGCCCAGCACUUCAUAUCUUUCUGUAUAGAAUCAAUAAGUUUCUCAAAAUUCAAACUGAACAAAUCGUCUAGAUCUUGGGAGAUAAAUACACCUAGAUACUUUAACUUUUUAGCUUUCCAUUUAAGUUUAUAAUUGUGUCGUAUGGAUUUAUUGGGGGAGUAAUUAAUGGUCAGAACUUGUGUUUUAGUAAUGUUUAAAUGAUAGCCAGACAACUGAACCAAACUCUGUCAGAGAUCUCAUAAGUUUAGGGACGCUUACAUCUGGAUUUUGGGUUUCAAAUACGUUUUUAGUACCUUUAUGGAUCUUGAGAGAGGAAAUGUCAUAGCUUUGAAUGCAGGCCUCACUGAGUCAUCAGAUUUAAUCAAAAAUAUCUUAAUUUGUGUUCUGAAGAUUAAUGAAGGCCUUAUGGGUGUAGAACGACAUGAGGGUGAGUAAUAAAUGACAUUAUUUUCAUUUUUGGGUGAACUAACCAUUUAAUAGAGGCUAAACUAAAUAGACAUAUGAAUAUACAAAAGACGGGAAAAAAUAUAUAAAUAUGAUUUAUCAUAUAGUUACAGUAUAUCAACCAGUUCUGACAUGUUGGUACUUUAACACAAAGGUUUUCAACCCUGCUCCAGAAGACCCACUGUUCUGCAAAGUUUAUUUCCAACCUGCUUCAGAACACCUGCCUGUGUAUUUUGAAGUGAUCCUGAAGAGCUUGAUUAGCUGCUUCAGGUGUGUUUGAUUAGGGCUGGAACUAAACUCUGCAGGACAGUGGGUCCCAAGGAAUAGGUUUGAAGACCUUUGCAUUAACACAUAAUGGAGUUUAAAAAAAUUAAGUAUCCAGCACCAGGCACAUCUGUGCAGUAUGUGUUUUUAACCCUAGUUGUAUUAUUGGAUAUAGUCAUAAAUCUGUUUCGCAAAUAUAUGAAAUUGGCACUUAUCACUUAACUGAACAAACAUUAACAUUAGGUAUCAUGAGCAAAAAUGAACAAUACUUUUACAACAUUUUCUAAUCUUGUUUAACCUGUUAGCCAGCACCCCCGAUUUUGUAAAAAAACAAAACAAAAACAAAAAAAACCAAACAAGAAAUGAUAUACCCAAAAGAGAUACAGUUCAUAAAGCCUUUGCACUAAAAGCAUAAGUAAGGUCUUAUUUGAAAGCAGACACUUUGUAGUUUAUUGUAAAGUCAGAAUUAAUUUUUGUCAUAUUGAAAAAAAAGUAGUUAUAAAUAGCUUAAAAUUUUGGAAAGUUAUUAGAAAUGUAUUUUUAUGAAAUAUCUUAUCAAAAUAAAAUUGAAGUUGGCCUUGUUACAAUCUAGAAAUGCACUUCAGCUAAAGCCACAUGUCUGGCCAUGAUAUAUUUCAAACCUUUUUUUUAAACUAUGAGUUUUAUUAAAUGUUUUUCAAGAUCAUGUCAUGUGAUUUUAUUUUGAGAAGACUCUAAAAUGCUAACUGAUGUUUAUUGUCAUCUACUAAGCAUCCAUUCGAUGUUUUGUCUCUAUUGUUUUGUGGUGCAAACUGCACCAUUCAGUUUCAGUCUCCCCUUCACACAUUCACACCUAUCUGGCCUGCUUAUGGCUCUAAUUAUUCUUUUCUUUUGUGUAUAUUAUAAUAUUAUAAUAGUAUAUUCUAUUCAAGCAGAUUUAAUCCCUCAUUUCUUUCAUCAAACUUCUCUCUUCACCUUCUUUCUUCUCUCUAACCUAUUGUUCGGUUUCUCGCACAAACCGAUCAUUUCGUGUCUUAGGACAUCAAUGUGUCGUCACAAGCCGCAGGGUUUAAUUUGGAAUUUGUCUGUGCAUGUUUUUUUGACUCUUAUAGAUGGAGUUCC